UACGGAGGGUGCGAGCGUUGUCCGGAAUCACUGGGCGUAAAGGGCGCGUAGGCGGCGCGGCAAGUCUGUGGUGAAAGCCCGAGGCUCAACUUCGGGUCGGCCAUGGAUACUGCUGCGCUCGAGCACUGUAGAGGCAGGUGGAAUUCCGGGUGUAGCGGUGGAAUGCGUAGAGAUCCGGAAGAACACCGGUGGCGAAGGCGGCUCACUGGACUGGUAUUGACGCUGAGGUGGCGAAAGCGUGGGGAGCGAACGAGG
rnacentral:rRNA from 1 species